rnacentral:rRNA from 1 species
CUUGACUGUAGCCUGGAAUUGGGUUCGGGCUUUUCUUGCGCAGCCUAGGUGGGAGGCCAUGAAGAUUUCCUUCCGGGGAAGUUGGAGCCAACAGUGAGAGACCACUCUGGAGAGGCUAGAAUCCUAAUGGUGAUCCUUGAAUCAGGACACUUGACAGUUUCAGGUGGGCAGUUUUUCUGGGGCGGAAGCCUCAUAAAGGGUAACUGAGGCGCGCAAAGGUCCCCUCAGUCUGGACGGAAAUCAGACAACGAGUGUAAAGGCAAAAGGGGGCUUGACUGCAAGACCUACAAGUCGAGCAGGAGCGAAAGCUGGCCUUAGUGAUCCGACGGCGCUGAGUGGAAGGGCCGUCGCUAAACGGAUAAAAGUUA